rnacentral:rRNA from 1 species
GGUUAAGCGACUAAGCGUACACGGUGGAUGCCCUGGCAGUCAGAGGCGAUGAAGGACGUGCUAAUCUGCGAUAAGCGUCGGUGAGGUGAUAUGAACCGUUAUAACCGGCGAUUUCCGAAUGGGGAAACCCAGUGUGUUUCGACACACUAUCAUUAACUGAAUCCAUAGGUUAAUGAGGCGAACCGGGGGAACUGAAACAUCUAAGUACCCCGAGGAAAAGAAAUCAACCGAGAUUCCCCCAGUAGCGGCGAGCGAACGGGGAGGAGCCCAGAGCCUGAAUCAGUGUGUGUGUUAGUGGAAGCGUCUGGAAAGGCGCGCGAUACAGGGUGACAGCCCCGUACACAAAAAUGCACAUAUUGUGAGCUCGAUGAGUAGGGCGGGACACGUGGUAUCCUGUCUGAAUAUGGGGGGACCAUCCUCCAAGGCUAAAUACUCCUGACUGACCGAUAGUGAACCAGUACCGUGAGGGAAAGGCGAAAAGAACCCCGGCGAGGGGAGUGAAAAAGAACCUGAAACCGUGUACGUACAAGCAGUGGGAGCCUCUUAAUGGGGUGACUGCGUACCUUUUGUAUAAUGGGUCAGCGACUUAUAUUCUGUAGCAAGGUUAACCGAAUAGGGGAGCCGAAGGGAAACCGAGUCUUAACUGGGCGUUAAGUUGCAGGGUAUAGACCCGAAACCCGGUGAUCUAGCCAUGGGCAGGUUGAAGGUUGGGUAACACUAACUGGAGGACCGAACCGACUAAUGUUGAAAAAUUAGCGGAUGACUUGUGGCUGGGGGUGAAAGGCCAAUCAAACCGGGAGAUAGCUGGUUCUCCCCGAAAGCUAUUUAGGUAGCGCCUCGUGAAUUCAUCUCCGGGGGUAGAGCACUGUUUCGGCAAGGGGGUCAUCCCGACUUACCAACCCGAUGCAAACUGCGAAUACCGGAGAAUGUUAUCACGGGAGACACACGGCGGGUGCUAACGUCCGUCGUGAAGAGGGAAACAACCCAGACCGCCAGCUAAGGUCCCAAAGUCAUGGUUAAGUGGGAAACGAUGUGGGAAGGCCCAGACAGCCAGGAUGUUGGCUUAGAAGCAGCCAUCAUUUAAAGAAAGCGUAAUAGCUCACUGGUCGAGUCGGCCUGCGCGGAAGAUGUAACGGGGCUAAACCAUGCACCGAAGCUGCGGCAGCGACACUAUGUGUUGUUGGGUAGGGGAGCGUUCUGUAAGCCUGUGAAGGUGGNNNNNNNNNNNNNNNNNNNNNNNNNNNNNNNNNNNNNNNNNNNNNNNNNNNNNNNNNNNNNNNNNNNNNNNNNNNNNNNNNNNNNNNNNNNNNNNNNNAUGCUGGAGGUAUCAGAAGUGCGAAUGCUGACAUAAGUAACGAUAAAGCGGGUGAAAAGCCCGCUCGCCGGAAGACCAAGGGUUCCUGUCCAACGUUAAUCGGGGCAGGGUGAGUCGACCCCUAAGGCGAGGCCGAAAGGCGUAGUCGAUGGGAAACAGGUUAAUAUUCCUGUACUUGGUGUUACUGCGAAGGGGGGACGGAGAAGGCUAUGUUGGCCGGGCGACGGUUGUCCCGGUUUAAGCGUGUAGGCUGGUUUUCCAGGCAAAUCCGGAAAAUCAAGGCUGAGGCGUGAUGACGAGGCACUACGGUGCUGAAGCGACAAAUGCCCUGCUUCCAGGAAAAGCCUCUAAGCAUCAGGUAACAUCAAAUCGUACCCCAAACCGACACAGGUGGUCAGGUAGAGAAUACCAAGGCGCUUGAGAGAACUCGGGUGAAGGAACUAGGCAAAAUGGUGCCGUAACUUCGGGAGAAGGCACGCUGAUAUGUAGGUGAAGCGACUUGCUCGUGGAGCUGAAAUCAGUCGAAGAUACCAGCUGGCUGCAACUGUUUAUUAAAAACACAGCACUGUGCAAACACGAAAGUGGACGUAUACGGUGUGACGCCUGCCCGGUGCCGGAAGGUUAAUUGAUGGGGUUAGCGGUAACGCGAAGCUCUUGAUCGAAGCCCCGGUAAACGGCGGCCGUAACUAUAACGGUCCUAAGGUAGCGAAAUUCCUUGUCGGGUAAGUUCCGACCUGCACGAAUGGCGUAAUGAUGGCCAGGCUGUCUCCACCCGAGACUCAGUGAAAUUGAACUCGCUGUGAAGAUGCAGUGUACCCGCGGCAAGACGGAAAGACCCCGUGAACCUUUACUAUAGCUUGACACUGAACAUUGAGCCUUGAUGUGUAGGAUAGGUGGGAGGCUUUGAAGUGUGGACGCCAGUCUGCAUGGAGCCGACCUUGAAAUACCACCCUUUAAUGUUUGAUGUUCUAACGUGGGCCCCUUACCGGGGUUGCGGACAGUGUCUGGUGGGUAGUUUGACUGGGGCGGUCUCCUCCUAAAGAGUAACGGAGGAGCACGAAGGUUGGCUAAUCCUGGUCGGACAUCAGGAGGUUAGUGCAAUGGCAUAAGCCAGCUUGACUGCGAGCGUGACGGCGCGAGCAGGUGCGAAAGCAGGUCAUAGUGAUCCGGUGGUUCUGAAUGGAAGGGCCAUCGCUCAACGGAUAAAAGGUACUCCGGGGAUAACAGGCUGAUACCGCCCAAGAGUUCAUAUCGACGGCGGUGUUUGGCACCUCGAUGUCGGCUCAUCACAUCCUGGGGCUGAAGUAGGUCCCAAGGGUAUGGCUGUUCGCCAUUUAAAGUGGUACGCGAGCUGGGUUUAGAACGUCGUGAGACAGUUCGGUCCCUAUCUGCCGUGGGCGCUGGAGAACUGAGGGGGGCUGCUCCUAGUACGAGAGGACCGGAGUGGACGCAUCACUGGUGUUCGGGUUGUCAUGCCAAUGGCACUGCCCGGUAGCUAAAUGCGGAAGAGAUAAGUGCUGAAAGCAUCUAAGCACGAAACUUGCCCCGAGAUGAGUUCUCCCUGACUCCUUGAGAGUCCUGAAGGAACGUUGAAGACGACGACGUUGAUAGGCCGGGUGUGUAAGCGCAGCGAUGCGUUGAGCUAACCGGUACUAAUGAACCGUGAGGCUUAACCUU